rnacentral:rRNA from 1 species
CGGAUUAAGAGCUUGCUCUUAAGAAGUUAGCGGCGGACGGGUGAGUAACACGUGGGUAACCUGCCCAUAAGACUGGGAUAACUCCGGGAAACCGGGGCUAAUACCGGAUAAUAUCUUGCACCGCAUGGUGCAAGAUUGAAAGGUGGCUUCGGCUGUCACUUAUGGAUGGACCCGCGUCGCAUUAGCUAGUUGGUGAGGUAACGGCUCACCAAGGCAACGAUGCGUAGC